AGGAGGAACAACCACAGUGGCGGGGCCAGCUCCAGAGCCCUGGAUUCAGCUCCCGUAGUAACUACGGAGCUCUCCGUAGGCAGGGGCCUGGAUGCUCCAGGGGCGG
rnacentral:pre_miRNA from 1 species